UUGGAGACAUGUAAAAUCAUCAUUGUGAGAUACCAACUAAGUUCCACUACAAAAGCAACAAGCCAGCUUUCAGGAUACAAUCGCCUAUCUUCACACCCCUAAUUUAAAUUUUAAAGACAUCCUAAACAUCAAAUUUAAGAUAUAUAAAAAAUGCAUUACUCUUAAGAGCAAAAUACCUCCUUUCAAUGAUUAACUGAUAGAUAAAGACUAUUUGAAGUACAG
rnacentral:misc_RNA from 1 species